CUGAGUCGGUGACCAUUGAUGGCCUGAGUAGGCGGCAAAAAAGAACGUGGCGGUGGCAGGGGGAUUUUAGAGAGAGGCGCGACAUCGGUGGCGAUUCAAGGUGAGGAGCCACGUGCACAGCGUCGCGCCGCCUCUCUUCACCGGCGAGGAACACCAUCGUCGACCACCCCUCUCAUCGACGCAGCAAUUAGCAGCCGCUAGAGGACCUGUUGCCGCUGUCGUCGCCCUCCAUCCUUCGCUCUCUCUAUUUCUCACUCCAGAUCCAGAAACCCCCCCUAUCUUCUCANAGCGUCGCGCCGCCUCUCUUCACCGGCGAGGAACGCCACCGUCGACCACCUCUCUCAUCGACGCAGCAAUUAGCAGCCGCUAGAGGACCUGUUGCCGCUGUCGUCGCCCUUCAUCCUUCGCUCUCUCUAUUUCUCACUCCAGAUCCAGAAAUCCCCCCUAUCUUCUCAGGUAACAACGGCAAUCCCUCGUUGUUUGUGAAAUUUCGGCAACCAUGGCUGCCUCCAGCCUCAACUCCCUCUCACCGUCCGGACGCACGGCAACUACAAGCUCAGAUUUUUUCCAAAAUGUUCAUUUACUGAUUUGGUUCUAAAUUUGAGUGGGAAAAUUGAUUUUUCAUUUGAAAUGUAGCUAUAGCAAAUCUGAGUGUAUGCUUAUUUCUUGUUCAUUUAUUGAUUUUGUUCAUUUAGUUCAAGCUUGGUGAAGUCAGUCUCUAAUUAAGGAUUCGAUUUGUUCCCAGUCUUAGCUUUGUUGUGUUUAUUUAUUUGGAUUUCUUGUGCUCAUUUCUUUGGAUU
rnacentral:lncRNA from 1 species